AUACGUAGGGGGCGAGCGUUGUUCGGAAUCAUUGGGCGUAAAGGGCGCGCAGGCGGCGAGGCAAGUCCGGUGUGAAAGUGCUCGGCUCAACCGAGUGAUGCGCUGGAAACUGCCCUGCUUGAGGACAGGAGGGGACGUCGGAAUUCCAGGUGUAGGGGUGAAAUCUGUAGAUAUCUGGAAGAACACCGGUGGCGAAGGCGGACGUCUGGCCAUGUACUGACGCUGAGGCGCGAAGGUGCGGGGAGCGAACAGGUUUAGAUACCCUGGUAGUCCGCACAGUAAACGAUGUGCACCAGGUGGCGGGGGGUAGCCCUCGGUACCGAAGCCAACGCAUUAAGUGCACCGCCUGGGGAGUAUGCUCGCAAGGGUGAAACUCAAAUGAAUUGGCGGGG
rnacentral:rRNA from 1 species